CCCACUGACCAAUCACCAUGGUGCUUCUCCUCUUACAGGCUCCUUCUCCCUAUCUGCAUAUGGAAUCCCCACUGCCCAAUCAGGUGCUUCUGCUUGCGAACUCUCACGAGAGCUGCCACACAUGGGAUUAGCCACAGGCCCAUAGCUACAGGAAAUUUGAAAUCUGAUUAACUGCGGAUUAAAAAUUGGGCUCCAUGUGACAAGCAAAGUCACUGUUUGGACACUACAGGAAUGCCAUUGAAGAAGGCCUGCUAUAGGCUGAAACAAGUCCAGCGAAAGUGAAUACAUUUGUGAGCUGUGAUGAAUGCCAGUGUCCUAGAAGACUCAGAACCUACUGGACCAUCGAAUUCAAGAACCAUUGAAUUUUUCUUACAUUUACACUAAACUACUAUUUAUUGAGAAACUUGCUAUAUGAAAGACUGAUUCGCAAGUUCUUAUAUUUCUUGAAUACUGACAUUGGUAGUUCCAGUAGUUAGGAUGAUUGUAAAAUGUAUGUCUUUUCAUGGAUAUGUGUUUUUAUUAGGUGACAUGUAUUGUUAAUAAUUAUGGGUCAUAAGAGUAUAUUUAUUAAAUAUCAAUUUGUUCCA